AGAGUUUGAUCAUGGCUCAGAUUGAACGCUGGCGGCAUGCCUAACACAUGCAAGUCGAACGGUAACAGGCCGCAAGGUGCUGACGAGUGGCGGACGGGUGAGUAAUACGUAGGUAUCUGCCCUGUAGUGGGGGAUAACCCGGGGAAACUCGGGCUAAUACCGCAUACGCUCUUUUAUCGUUGAGAUAGGAGAGGAAAGCGAGGGACCGAAAGGCCUCGCGCUAGAGGAUGAGCCUACGCCCGAUUAGCUAGUUGGUAGGGUAAAAGCCUACCAAGGCGACGAUCGGUAGCUGGUCUGAGAGGAUGGCCAGCCACACUGGGACUGAGACACGGCCCAGACUCCUACGGGAGGCAGCAGUGGGGAAUAUUGGACAAUGGGGGAAACCCUGAUCCAGCGAUGCCGCGUGGGUGAAGAAGGCCUGCGGGUUGUAAAGCCCUUUCAGUGGGGAAGAAAAACGGGGUGUGAAAAGCGCUUCGUCUUGACGUUACCCACAGAAGAAGCACCGGCUAACUCCGUGCCAGCAGCCGCGGUAAUACGGAGGGUGCGAGCGUUAAUCGGAAUUACUGGGCGUAAAGGGCGCGUAGGCGGUUAGGUAAGUCGAGUGUGAAAGCCCUGGGCUUAACCUGGGAAUGGCAUUCGAGACUACCUAUCUAGAGUCUGGUAGAGGGAAGUGGAAUUUCCGGUGUAGCGGUGAAAUGUGUAGAUAUCGGAAGGAACACCAGUGGCGAAGGCGACUUCCUGGACCAAGACUGACGCUGAGGCGCGAAAGCGUGGGGAUCAAACAGGAUUAGAUACCCUCGUAGUCC
rnacentral:rRNA from 1 species